rnacentral:rRNA from 1 species
CAUUAUUGAAAUAAACCUGAUAAGUUGUUGCUGGUUCUCUUGGGAGCAUGUGCACACUUGUCAUCUUUCUAUCUUCACCUGUGCACCUUUUGUAGAUCUGAUUAUCUCUCUGAAUUCCUUUAUUCAGGAUUGAGGAUUGACUUUUUGUCUCUCCUUACAUUUUCAGGUCUAUGUUUUAUUCAUAUACCCUAAUGUAUGUUUAUAGAAUGUAAUAAAAAUGGGCCUUUGUGUCUAUAAAUUCUAUUACAACUUUCAGCAACGGAUCUCUUGGCUCUCGCAUCGAUGAAGAACGCAGCGAAAUGCGAUAAGUAAUGUGAAUUGCAGAAUUCAGUGAAUCAUCGAAUCUUUGAACGCACCUUGCGCUCCUUGGUAUUCCGAGGAGCAUGCCUGUUUGAGUGUCAUUAAUAUCAUCAACCUCUUUGGUUGGAUGUGGGUUUGCUGGCCUCUUGAGGUCAGCUCCCCUUAAAUGCAUUAGCUGACAAUAUUUUGCCAACUGUUCAUUAGUGUGAUAAUUAUCUACGCUAUUGAAUGUCAGGGAAUGUUCAGCUUCUAACAGUCCAUUGACUUGGACAAUUUUAUUAUUUAUUAAUGUGACCUCAAAUCAGGUAGGACUACCCGCUGAACUUAAGCAUAUCAAUAAGCGGAGGAAAAGAAACUAACAAGGAUUCCCCUAGUAACUGCGAGUGAACUGGGAAAAGCUCAAAUUUAAAAUCUGGCAGUCUUUUGGCUGUCCGAGUUGUAAUCUAGAGAAGCAUUAUCCGCGCUGGACCGUGUACAAGUCUCCUGGAAUGGAGCGUCAUAGAGGGUGAGAAUCCCGUCUUUGACACGGACUACCAGGGCUUUUGUGAUGUGCUCUCAAAGAGUCGAGUUGUUUGGGAAUGCAGCUCAAAAUGGGUGGUAAAUUCCAUCUAAAGCUAAAUAUUGGCGAGAGACCGAUAGCGAACAAGUACCGUGAGGGAAAGAUGAAAAGAACUUUGGAAAGAGAGUUAAACAGUACGUGAAAUUGCUGAAAGGGAAACGCUUGAAGUCAGUCGCGUUGGCCAGGGAUCAACUCUUGCUUUUGCUUGGUGUACUUUCUGGUUAAUGGGUCAGCAUCAAUUUUGACUAUUGGAAAAAGAUUAAGGGAAUGUGGCAUCUUUAGAUGUGUUAUAGCCCUUGGUUGCAUACAUUAGUUAGGAUUGAGGAACUCAGCACGCCGCAAGGCCGAGUUUUUUUAACUACGUACGUGCUUAGGAUGCUGGCAUAAUGGCUUUAAUCGACCCG